rnacentral:rRNA from 1 species
UACGUAGGGUCCGAGCGUUGUCCGGAAUUAUUGGGCGUAAAGGGCUCGUAGGCGGUUUGUCGCGUCGGGAGUGAAAACAGCGGGCUUAACUCGUUGCUUGCUUCCGAUACGGGCAGACUAGAGGUAUGCAGGGGAGAAUGGAAUUCCUGGUGUAGCGGUGAAAUGCGCAGAUAUCAGGAGGAACACCGGUGGCGAAGGCGGUUCUCUGGGCAUGUCCUGACGCUGAGGAGCGAAAGUGUGGGGAGCGAACAGG